rfam:Coriobacteriaceae bacterium BV3Ac1 contig00001, whole genome shotgun sequence.
GAAGUGGAUCAGACAAUCGCGGGACGUAGAUAUUAUCUAUGGUAUCUACGUCAUGAGGAAAGUCUGGGCUCCAAAGGGUAGAAAGCUGGCUAACAGCCAGGCGGGGCAACCCGACGGAAAGCGCCGCAGAAAAGAAAACUCCCACUGCUCGUCUUGGCGAGUAAGAGAAAAGCUGAAACGGUGGUGUAAAAGACCACCAGCGUCUAGGCAACUGGACGGCUUGGCAAGCCCCUUUCGGAGCAAGCGCAUAUAGGAGCGCUCAAGUGUGACCCGCACUGCGCUCGGGUAGCGUGCUAGAGGAUGUCAGUAAUGGCAUUCGUAGAUAAAUGAUUGUCCACGACAGAACCCGGCUUAUCGAUCCACUUCGCAU